GAGUGUCAUGUCAUCACGCCCAAUCAUUGACAAGUCAUUGUCACACCAUCACCUUUAAUGACGUGGCGAUGAUGUGUUAGUGAUUGGAUAUGAUGAUGAGAUACUCUAU
rfam:Glycine soja cultivar W05 scaffold841_19, whole genome shotgun sequence.